AAAACGUAAAAGGUGGGGAAGCAAAGAAGCCUUGUUUUUUAAGAAGUCUGCUCUGGCUUCCAAGGUCAUCUAGGCUGGAGUCAGACUCCUGCUGCUUGUGGAGCUUUGAGAGGCAGCCUCCUCCUUCAAAGACUGCUCCGCACAGCUUCAUGAUUAGAGAUCUUCAAGAUUCUAGGAACACCUCAUCUUCCGGUUGCUAGGAAGAGGCAUGGCUCUGGGAAUAAUAGUUGUGACCAAGUUGGAGAAGGUUACAAACAGAAUUGUAGGCACGAGGGGGAAGUCAGUAAAGGGGGACGGGGUGGAAAGUUUCUCUCAACAUAUGUCCUAUUGAUGCAUUGCCUCAUUCACUGUCAUGCUCCUGAUAGGACUUCCCCUAUAUGCAGUGAGCCCUCAGGUGGGUGCAGACUGACAAGAACAAGCUACUGCCUUGGUUUUGCCCUGGCAGGGACGAGCCUCACUCGCUGCUCUCCAAUUUAAAAAUUGUCACUGACUUCUUAGAACCCAUUGUGUCCGGACUUGGUUUCUUCAGAUGUGUCCGGAGUUUCUUCUUGGCCUCACCGACUUCAAGAAUGAAGCCACGGACCUCGCGACAUCACAGCUCCUGUUCUCCAGUCUUCACACUCCAGGACUUAACACCAGCACCUCCCAAACCCCACCCCUCCAGCAAGACUCCCCUGGUUUUCAGGCCUUCCAACUCAGACUGGAUUAUACCACCUCCAGCUUCCCUGAUUCUUCAGUUUACAGAUGGCACGUUGUGGGACUUUCCGGCUUCUAUUAUCAUACAUUAACAAGUUCGGUGGCAUCUAAAUCAAAACACCACUCUCACGAGAAAGCUGAGGUUCACAAAAGUAGAUUUCUUCUCCGACAUCCUGAAUAAUAAACAGAAAAUUAGGACUUGGACUCAGAUUUUUUGUGUCUGAUGUAGAUGUGCUCAAUUGUUUUUUUUUCUUAAAAAUAGCAUUUAUUAUGUGUAUUAUAUGCCAAGAAUUAUGUCUGGAAGCCACUGAGAAGAUUUCAAGCGGAAGAGUGACAUGAUAAUUUUGACUUUGGAGUAUGA
rnacentral:lncRNA from 1 species